rnacentral:rRNA from 1 species
GCUCAUUGCUGAAGCGUGUUAAAUUCACUUUUGACAUGCAUUGUAGCAUUUAGGGUAACUAUUGUAUGGUGCCUGUUCGUGUGAGUUCCUUUGAUCAGGGCUUUAACCAUAGAAGGUGCUAGUCCUAUAAUCACGAAUAGUUGUGCUGUACAUUGUAUACCUUUCGAGUAGCGUAGUUUGAGAUUGCUACGCCAACGUGGGACGUAAACUUGUUCCAAAGCUAAAUAUUAUAACGAGACCGAUAGCGAACAAGUACCGUGAGGGAAAGUUGAAAAGCACUCUGAAGAGAGAGUUAAAUAGUACGUAAAACCGUACAGAAGAAAACGAAUGGCCGCAUUCAUCAGAUUACUUUGAAUUCAAUUCGAUCUCUAUAUGAUGGUGAUACAUGUUGCUUUCGAACUUCAACAGUCGAUCGAUAUGUUAUUGCUUGGAGUCGGAUGCAUUUUCAAAGUAUUAACUGAACCUGGAUCUAUAACAUUGAAAGCUAGUCGAAUCAGUCUAUUUUGGUGGCGAGUUUACCCGUGUUAAAAAUAUGACUUGCAUAAAUAACAAAUUCGACUUGGCGUUAUAGGUAAACAGACAAGUUCUUUGAUUUCAGUACUUUCGAGUACGGCAUACUAUGUGCAUUGUUGGUGUCACAUGAGUAACUAAUAUUUAACCGAUAUUAGUUUUAUUCAUUGUCGGUGCCUAAUGUUGUAUGGUUGUCAAUGAAAUCGGCAAGUCUACAGGAGUUUUGAAUGCCGAGUUAUUCGACCCGUCUUGAAACACGGUCUAAGGAGUUCACUGCAUGUGCAAGAGUUCGGCUGUAUGAAAAGCCUUGCUCGUAAUGAAAGUAAAGAACAUUCUUGCAAUGUUUUAAGUGUGAUUUCUGUCAUCUGGUGCAAAUCAUGACAAUGAACGCAACACNGACAGGUUCUAUUGCCGUUGGCAAAGAGCUUAGUAAGAGUAU